rnacentral:rRNA from 1 species
AGCGGCGGAUGGGUGAGUAACACGUGGGGAACCUGCCCCUAAGUCUGGGAUACCAUUUGGAAACAGGUGCUAAUACCGGAUAAUAAAGCAGAUCGCAUGAUCAGCUUUUGAAAGGCGGCGUAAGCUGUCGCUAAGGGAUGGCCCCGCGGUGCAUUAGCUAGUUGGUAAGGUAACGGCUUACCAAGGCGACGAUGCAUAGCCGAGUUGAGAGACUGAUCGGCCACAUUGGGACUGAGACACGGCCCAAACUCCUACGGGAGGCAGCAGUAGGGAAUCUUCCACAAUGGACGCAAGUCUGAUGGAGCAACACCGCGUGAGUGAAGAAGGUUUUCGGAUCGUAAAGCUCUGUUGUUGGCGAAGAAGGAUAGAGGUAGUAACUGGCCUUUAUUUGACGGUAAUCAACCAGAAAGUCACGGCUAACUACGUGCCAGCAGCCGCGGUAAUACGUAGGUGGCAAGCGUUGUCCGGAUUUAUUGGGCGUAAAGCGAGCGCAGGCGGAAAAAUAAGUCUAAUGUGAAAGCCCUCGGCUUAACCGAGGAACUGCAUCGGAAACUGUUUUUCUUGAGUGCAGGAGAGGAGAGUGGAACUCCAUGUGUAGCGGUGGAAUGCGUAGAUAUAUGGAAGAACACCAGUGGCGAAGGCGGCUCUCUGGUCUGCAACUGACGCUGAGGCUCGAAAGCAUGGGUAGCGAACAGGAUUAGAUACCCUGGUAGUCCAUGCCGUAAACGAUGAGUGCUAAGUGU